UAGUUAAAAUAUGGUGUAGAUGAUGGAACAGUGUAGGAUGCUGAGUGAUUUCUUAUCCAGAACAUGUUUUGCUUUUUUUAACACUGAAAUGCUUCUUGAUAAUUUGUUUUGUAUAUGAUGUGUGGUUUCCAACUGAUUUUCCCAUCUGUUAUUGCCCCAAGAAAUUUAUUUUCAUUAAUCCUUUCAAUCUGACUCCUAUCUGUAUUUAUACCUGCUCAUUCCUUCUGCAGUUCCCAAAGAACAUCAGUUUUGUUUUAAGUUUAAUGACUAUUUGUUUUGGUCAAAACGUAUUCUCAGUUUGUUCAUGUCUUCAGUGAUUUCCUCCUGAACUAUCUGCCAAGCUCAAAAUCGUCUGCAUCCUGGUUAAGAGCAGAAUACUACUAGAGGAGUGAUUUUGAAUCAGGAAAGUUGAAUCAGAAAAAUUGGGUGCUGCACUCACUGGAAUGUAUUGUUUGGAAUAGCCCCAGAUUGCAUUUCAGAGCUUGUAGAAUUCAAAAAUCUUGGCGGUAGUUUUAAGUUUCUUCAGGUUUUGAUUUUAUUCAUUAAUUUUGUCAUCAUCCCUUGUGAGAGAAAAAAACCCACAUACAGUCUGAGAUUUGUUCCUUCUGUUUCUGUGCUCAUUUUACAAAAUAGUUUUUGUACAUU